UGCCACGCCACCCUGGUUGUGCCUGAUAUUGUCCGAUCCCAGAAGCUAAGCAGCAUCGGGCCUGGUCAGUAUUUGGAUGGGGGACCAAAGGUGCUGUGGCUACA
rnacentral:rRNA from 1 species